UUUAUGGAGAGUUUGAUCCUGGCUCAGGAUGAACGCUGGCGGCGUGCCUAAUACAUGCAAGUCGAGCGAACAGACAAGGAGCUUGCUCCUU
rnacentral:rRNA from 1 species